rnacentral:lncRNA from 1 species
AUGGGUGGCCUCACAGCAACCCGACGUCAACGCCCACCCCCACCCCAGUCCCAGUCCCAGUGGAUCCGGGGAGGUGGGGGGUGGGGGGGUUGGAGGUCUUCUCCACUGGCAGUGGCGACUACCCUCCUCACUCGACCUCACUCGGAAGGCGCCUCCCUAAGUCUCGGUCUCGCCUCUCUCAGCGGUCCGGGUCUUCUUCUUGAGGAACAGUGCUGGGCCUCCCCCACGGGCCAAAUCCAAUCCGCUGUAAUCUUAUUCCUGUCACAGGAGCCGCGGGCGGCGGACACGGCGGCGGCAGCGGCGGCGGCGGCGGCGGCAAAGGCACCGCCUCCUCCUCCUCCUCCUCACUCCGCCUCGCUCCCGGGGAUGAGGAGGGUCUCAGUCUCUCUCGCGCACUCGCGCUCGAGCCCGGGAAUAAGGAGGGUCCCGCGCUCGCGCCCGUGGAUAAGGAGGGUCUCGCGCUCGCGCACCUCUCCUCGCGCCUGCGGCCGCCCAGGGCCACAGCAGCUGGCAAGGCGUGUGCGCGACACAGAGCCAGGCAGCUACAGCUACGGGCUUGGCUCCCUUCGCAGCGCCCACCGAAGAGCUGGGGGCAUCGCACCCCUAAGCUGGGGUGGGGUUGGGUGGGGCGAGGAGGGAAGCAAACCCCGCUGCUCCCAGGCCCUCCUACCGGGAUCUGGAAAAGGCGGAGCGAACCAGGAAAGGAGAGCGCGUGCGUGGGGGCGCGUGCGCCCCCGCCCCGCAGUGUCCUAUACUGUAAGAGGAGGGGCAGAGAUAGGAGGAGGAGAUGGGAUUGGGGCCACCCUGCAAGCCCAAAUCUUAUCUAUAGGAGUUCUCAGCAUCUUAGGAUCGUAGAUUCACUCCUGGAAGGCACUGUAUAGCCCUACAGUCUUCGUUUAAAGGAUGGGAAAACUGAAGCAUCUAGAGGUUGAGUGACUUGCCCAAGGUCACACAGUAAGUGUUGAGUUGUCUUCAUGAGGCACAUCCUUAGCCCUUACUAAAUAUUUAUUCAAUUGAAAUGUCAAAUGUUGAAUCCAGGCC